GUACACGCUGUGACUAGCAUAUCAAUAAGCGGAGGAAAAGAAACUAACAAGGAUUCCCCUAGUAACGGCGAGUGAAGCGGGAAGAGCUCAAAUUUGAAAUCUUAAAGGGUUUCCCUUUACGAAUUGUAGUUUAAAGAAGUGUUUUCUGUUGAGGUUUUGGUAAAAGUUCUUUGGAAUAGGACAUCAUAGAGGGUGAGAAUCCCGUAUUUGACCUUUACUUUCAACUUUGUGAUACACUUUCAAAGAGUCGGAUUGUUUGGGAAUGCAGUCCAAAAUGGGUGGUAAAUUUCAUCUAAAGCUAAAUAUUGGCGAGAGACCGAUAGCGAACAAGUACCGUGAGGGAAAGAUGAAAAGAACUUUGAAAAGAGAGUUAAACAGUACGUGAAAUUGUCAAAAGGGAAGCGUUUGACACCAGUGUUGUUUUUCUGAAAAUCAAUUAAAGAACUGUUUAUGCUAAGUUGUUUAGACUUUAUCAGCUAACUGUUUAGUUUUGAGCUUUUCUUUAAUGCACUUUUCAGUUAACAAGUCAACAUCAAUUUCUUUUGCUGUAAAAAAGCUUGAGGAAGGUGGCUUGAGAUUCGUCUUAAGUGUUUAUAGCCUCUUGCCUAUGCAGUCGGAGAGAUUGAGGUCUGCAGCGUAGAUCCUUCGGGGCUAAACGCAUUUGUGCUAAGUUAUAGCAUUUUAUAGACAACUUGUUGACUAUGAUUUGUCUUGUAGCUUACUCGCUUAUGUUAUUUACCUACGCUUAGGAUGUUGACAGCAGUAUAGACUGU
rnacentral:rRNA from 1 species